GAUGAAGAACGUAGCGAAAUGCGAUAACUAAUGUGAAUUGCAGAAUUCAGUGAAUCAUCGAGUCUUUGAACGCACAUUGCGCCCCCUGGUAUUCCGGGGGGCAUGCCUGUCCGAGCGUCAUUGCUGCCCUCAAGCACGGCUUGUGUGUUGGGCUCCGUCCCCCCGGGGACGGGCCCGAAAGGCAGCGGCGGCACCGAGUCCGGUCCUCGAGCGUAUGGGGCUUUGUCACCCGCUCUGUAGGCCCUGCCGGCGCCAGCCGACAACCCAUCAUCCUUUUCAGGUUGACCUCGGAUCAGGUAGGGAUACCCGCUGAACUUAAGCAUAUCAAUAAGCGGAGGA
rnacentral:misc_RNA from 1 species